AUGAAGCUGACUGAAGCCAACAAAAAGUCUGCAUUGUUCGGUGAACAGAAGCAGAAUAUGGCCAAGCAGAGACAUCCCUGCAUGGGAGAGCUGCCACAACAACAGUCCAAUUCUUCAGACAGCGAGAGCUGCACUAUCUUCUUCCUCGGGCAAGGGAGGCCACCGACAGCCGGGGCACACGUGGAGCACGGCGACGCGUCCACGUCGGCGCGCACCCACGUCCUCCAUCACAAGGAUGAUGUUCUUUGCUUCGCGAGAGGAUCGCGCGUUUUCAGUACUGAAAUGGGAGAUCAGAGUGAUGUUCCUGGUUCAUGCCUAAUGGACAGAAAUAAUAAGAUCCAGUGGCCACCGCACAUGGAGAAUUUCUUUCCGGGAAAGGAUGAGCCGAGCCGGAAUUCAGACCGCUGGUCAGUGGACAAUGCAGAGAAGAUGCCAAAGGUCGUGGGAUUCUUCUGCAGAGAUGCGUGUGUGCUAGCUUGCUUAGAAAAACAAAUUGAUGCAUGGCACAAUGCGAGCCACAGCCACUUGUUCUGUCAACUGAACGCACACUGUAUUUUGUACAUUGAUCAGAAAUACAGUAUUGUGUUCAGAUCUGUACGGUACUACACUACUACACAGCGUCAGCGUGUGUGGAAUAAGUCCAGCAAAAUAUGGAAUAAGUCCACUUUGACUCCUUGAAAAGUGACCA
rnacentral:lncRNA from 1 species